UACGUAGGGGGCUAGCGUUGUCCGGAAUCAUUGGGCGUAAAGAGCGUGUAGGCGGUCCGGUAAGUCCGCUGUGAAAGUCGGGGGCUCAACCCUCGAAUGCCGGUGGAUACUGUCGGGCUAGAGUGCGGAAGAGGCGAGUGGAAUUCCUGGUGUAGCGGUGAAAUGCGCAGAUAUCAGGAGGAACACCUAUGGCGAAGGCAGCUCGCUGGGACGUUACUGACGCUGAGACGCGAAAGCGUGGGGAGCAAACAGG
rnacentral:rRNA from 1 species